AACCAGCUGCUGAGCAUGAUGGAGGGUCGCCUCGAUGACCUGCUGUCACGCAUUGCCAUGGAGACGCAGGAGAUCAGAGAGCUGGAGCAGCAGUUGACGGACGGUCAGAUCCUGGCCAAUGAGGCUCUUCAGAGGGACCUACAGGAAGUGAUCCGUGGACUUCAGGAGUACCUGAGAGGACUCAGACUGCAGGCUCUUCGCUCCCAGC